GACGAACGCUGGCGGCGUGCUUAACACAUGCAAGUCGAACGAAAAGAGGGAAAGAGCUUGCUCUUUCCGGAAUUGAGUGGCAAACGGGUGAGUAACACGUAAACAACCUGCCUUCAGGAUGGGGACAACAGACGGAAACGACUGCUAAUACCGAAUAAGUUCCAAGGGCCGCAUGGCCCAUGGAAGAAAAGGUGGCCUCUACCUGUAACCUAUCGCCUGAAGAGGGGUUUGCGUCUGAUUAGCUGGUUGGAGGGGUAACGGCCCACCAAGGCGACGAUCAGUAGCCGGUCUGAGAGGAUGGACGGCCACACUGGAAUUGAGACACGGGCCAGACUCCUACGGGAGGCAGCAGUGGGGAAUCUUCCGCAAUAGGCGAAAGCCUGACGGAGCAACGCCGCGGGAGUGAUGACGGCCUUCGGGUUGUAAAACUCUGUGAUCCGGGACGAAAAGGCAGAGUGCGAAGAACAAACUGCAUUGACGGUACCGGAAAAGCAAGCCACGGCUAACUACGUG
rnacentral:rRNA from 1 species